rnacentral:rRNA from 1 species
AGGAAUAUUGGUCAAUGGGCGAGAGCCUGAACCAGCCAAGUAGCGUGAAGGAUGACUGCCCUAUGGGUUGUAAACUUCUUUUAUAAAGGAAUAAAGUCGGGUAUGGAUACCCGUUUGCAUGUACUUUAUGAAUAAGGAUCGGCUAACUCCGUGCCAGCAGCCGCGGUAAUACGGAGGAUCCGAGCGUUAUCCGGAUUUAUUGGGUUUAAAGGGAGCGUAGGUGGACAGUUAAGUCAGUUGUGAAAGUUUGCGGCUCAACCGUAAAAUUGCAGUUGAUACUGGCUGUCUUGAGUACAGUAGAGGUGGGCGGAAUUCGUGGUGUAGCGGUGAAAUGCUUAGAUAUCACGAAGAACUCCGAUUGCGAAGGCAGCUCACUGGACUGCAACUGACACUGAUGCUCGAAAGUGUGGGUAUCAAACAGGAUUAGAUACCCUGGUAGUCCACACAGUAAACGAUGAAUACUCGCUGUUUGCGAUAUACAGUAAGCGGCCAAGCGAAAGCAUUAAGUAUUCCACCUGGGGAGUACGCCGGCAACGGUGAAACUCAAAGGAAUUGACGGGGGCCCGCACAAGCGGAGGAACAUGUGGUUUAAUUCGAUGAUACGCGAGGAACCUUACCCGGGCUUAAAUUGCAUUUGAAUAUAUUGGAAACAGUAUAGUCGUAAGACAAAUGUGAAGGUGCUGCAUGGUUGUCGUCAGCUCGUGCCGUGAGGUGUCGGCUUAAGUGCCAUAACGAGCGCAACCCUUAUCUUUAGUUACUAACAGGUCAUGCUGAGGACUCUAGAGAGACUGCCGUCGUAAGAUGUGAGGAAGGUGGGGAUGACGUCAAAUCAGCACGGCCCUUACAUCCGGGGCGACACACGUGUUACAAUGGCGUGGACAAAGGGAGGCCACCUGGCGACAGGGAGCGAAUCCCCAAACCACGUCUCAGUUCGGAUCGGAGUCUGCAACCCGACUCCGUGAAGCUGGAUUCGCUAGUAAUCGCGCAUCAGCCAUGGCGCGGUGAAUACGUUCCCG